UACGUAGGGGGCGAGCGUUGUCCGGAAUCAUUGGGCGUAAAGCGCGUGUAGGCGGCCCGGUAAGUCCGCUGUGAAAGUCCGGGGCUCAACCCUGGGAUGCCGGUGGAUACUGUCGGGCUCGAGUCCGGAAGAGGCGAGUGGAAUUCCUGGUGUAGCGGUGAAAUGCGCAGAUAUCAGGAGGAACACCAAUGGCGAAGGCAGCUCGCUGGGACGUGACUGACGCUGAGACGCGAAAGCGUGGGGAGCAAACAGG
rnacentral:rRNA from 1 species